AUUCACAGUUCCUGAUGCAACCAACAUUCAUUCAUUGGCAGGAGUUGUCAGUUGGGGUGAUGGUUGUGCAAAGGCUGGUAGUUAUGGAGUAUAUGCUGAUGUGGCUUACUACAAUGCCUGGCUUCAAGAACAGUUUGCUGCUAACGGUGGAAUAACACUAACCUAAUCACUCUCCGCACUAAAUCUGAUUAUUUUUCAGUCAGUGUACUGCAAAUUGCUGCAGUACGCUAUGAAAACUUAGUUGAGGGUGGAAUAUUUACCUCAUAAGUUUUAAGUAUUAUAUAUUAUAAAUGCAUAAGUAUAUUAAGUCACUAGCUACAUUUGUGUUAUAGAUAACAGAUCUUUGAUAGUUAUAUCUGCCUUAGUUUAUCAUUUUUAUGUAAAAUGUAUUUCAAGAAUAAAUAGCAUAUGUGUACA